GACACCCUGCGGUGUUCGUGAUGUUCUACGAAGUUUUGUUCCAACAAGCUUACGUCGGGAGCAGGUCUGACUGGGGGGUUGGGCAGGCCGAACUUAGAGUCGGUAGCCCAUGAGCCUUAAGAGACGCUCCCACCUGUCUUCGCUGACAGGUUCAAGACGGCGUAAACACACGGCACAGGUGGGGUUUCU
rnacentral:other from 1 species